UGCUCCAGCAGCAUGGCUGGCUCCAGACAGGGGACCCUGGCUUAGGCUCCCUAGAACCUCAAUGCCUGCCACACCUGCUGACUAGAUCAGCAGGGAAUGUGCACCUGGCCGAGAAGGGUGGAACCACAGGUCCAGAUCUCUGCCGACUUCCCGACCAGCUGUGUGUACCUCAGGGCCCACAGAGAGCCCAGGGAUUCAUGGCUGUCCCCUCUGCUCUGAAUCCUAUGUUCAUGCCUGUUCUUUAGACCCCAGGAUAAGGUGAAGGUGGUGUCGUUUGUAGGGUUUCUCUACAGGAAGCACACUUGCCACCAUUGUGUUCAGGUGUGGCUUCUUAUCUAGCACAUUCUCAAUGGCAGCCCAAAGGGCAGUCUCGGGUCCCUGCUGUACAGUACUGUGUCCCCAGAACAACACAGGACAGUCACACAUGUCCACAGUCACGUGCUUCUGUCUCGAAAACCUAGCCUGCAGUUUCAGAACACCAUACUUUUCAUAGCACAGUGGUGGUGGUGGAGGGACAGUGUGGUCAUCUGCCAAUCACAAGUGCUCUGAGUUGCUCACAGCUCCUGGUCAGCUGGGGGACAGGGAAGUCUCUCUAUCCCUCUGACUUUUGUCCUGAGAACUCUGCCGCAGACCAUGCAGCUGUGACAAUGAUGCUGACUGGAUGGUCCUGAUGUUGACUGGCCUCUGCAGUGGCUCCAUCAUCGAAAGAUACAACUGACAUGGGCCACACUGCUGUUACAUGCAAGCCCCUUCUGCCUGUGACAUCGUGGGGAGCCUUUUGAACUCCUGUUAGAUGUUCCUGUUCUCCUCUGGCUAGAGACCACAGUCCCUGGUCCCCCCAGUUUCUGGUAAGAUUCAUGGUUUGUCGCAAAGCCCCUUCGUUCUGUUGCCAGCUUCUGUCGAUUGCUUCUGAUUCUUGAAUGAGAGGGGGAGAUGCCCGACAGGUCAGUAUGUGGCGGGCGCCAUGUGAGACCUUUAGGUCCCUGUCCUCUUGGCCAUGAAACAUUUAUAUGGGGUAUAGACUGCUCUCCUGCAGCUGUGGAGAUGAAUCGGCCCAGCAACUACACCCAUGCUUGCCUCACACCCUUCACACCUGAACUCUUCUCAGCAGAAAUCAGCAUGCGCCGGUGUCUCAGGACCAAAUGGCAUCUGUGGGAAGCUGGUCUGUUUUGACUGGUUCAAAGGAGGAUUGCUGCCAUUUCUAAGCGAGAGUUUUUACUCUUCGAAAAGACCAAGAGAUGUCCCUCUCUUCUGCUGGAUUUUGCCCAUCCUGUGCCACACUAUGUCCCAUCAGGAAAUGAUGGCGGGCAAGACCCAGCGAACUGCAGGAACCAGUGGAUAUGGAUGUGGUCAGUCCUCCUGUCCCUGGACCUGGCACGGGAACUCUGAGCUUCCUAUUGCUGCCACGGCAAGUCCACUCACUUGGUGAUUUGAAAGCAGGAUAGACCUGCUGUCCCAGAGUUCCUGAGGUCAGAAACCUGAAGUCAGACUCACUGGAAAGGGGAAAGUGUGGGCAGGGCUGGUCCAUUCUUCAGGUCCCAGGCACUGUACCUUUCCUGGCCCUUUCCAGUUUCUAGAGGCAUGUGUACCUCUCUACCUUCUAAAUGUGUCACCCGGUGUAGCUUCUGCUCAUGGAAUGUAUCAGCUCUUUGCAUUGAACAGAUGGUCAGGUAGUCAUUUCCUUCUAGAGGGAGGUAUUUAUGGCGCUGAGGAACACCCCCUCUCCCAACCACACAAAGCCAUUUAACAAUGGCUGGAGAGAGGACUGUGGUAGUUGCAUUGGGCAGGGAGCUCCAGGGAUGCCAACCCUGUGAGUUUUACCCAGGCCAGGUGAGACUCUCUUAUGAUGCUCCCUGUCUUGGAGUCACCCAUGGUCCUGAGAGUACCCAGAAUAAACUCUGGUUCACCAUGUUA